ACCGCCUACUCCAGUCCUCUCCACCCCAAGCUCUAUGCAACUCAUUUUCAUCUAGCAUUACCUCUCCAAAACCUGAAUCUCCACAAGAAAGCCACACAGCAAUUAACCAGUGUUGCAAGAACUGCUUCUGUAAUAAAGGUGGGAAGACAAAUUGAUGCAACCCUCUUGAAAAGCAAUCUGGCAAUAUGAACCAAGAGCCAUGAAAAGGCUUAUGCUAUUAUAAUUAAAUGGCUGUAAUGUUGGCUGUAAAUAUGAAAUUUUCUUUCACACACCAAUGUUUUCAAGAAUGGCAUAUUCACAUGCAGUAUGUGAUGAAAGAAGCAGUAAAGGAUGCUAACAAAGCUAUUUCUUUGGACAAUCUGAACCUGACGGAGUCUUACUCUGUCGCCCAGGCAGGAGUGCAAUGGCACAAUCUUGGCUCACCACAACCUCCGCCUCCUGGGUUCAAGUGACUCUCCUGCCUGGCCAUAGAAGCAAACACAAACAUAGAGGAAUUGGCUUUGGGCAGAUGGAAGGACCUCAGAGAAAAGAAACAAAGGAAAGAAAACUGGAUGGAUAAAGGUACAAAGAAAUUUGGAGUAGAGCUGAAUUGCAUCCCCCUCAAAUUCAUAUGUUAAAAUUCUGAUCCUCAA
rnacentral:lncRNA from 1 species